UAUAUUUGGCAUUCAUUUGGAACACCUUGAAGAAAUUGGAGCUGUUUUCUAUUUAUUUUUUGACUUUCUGGUUGAAAAAUAUCGCCUAGAUUUGCCUUUUUUUUACAUCUAACGUUAUGGAUAAUAAUUCAGCUUACUAUGGACAGCAGCCUUGUGGCUUUUCCAAUGCAUUCGCUGCUGGGAAUGGCAACUGUCCCAAUGGUAACUGCAGUCGCGGCAAUUGUCCUGGUGGCAACUGCCCUGGUGGCAAUUGUCCUGGCGGCUAUUGCAUGCGCGACAGACAUAACCCAAGAGCCAGCUGGCAAGCAAAUAAUGGACAUCGUCACUAAAGAGCCGAUGCAUCCAUUAAGCGGCAAAUCGGCGCGUGAUUUCCUCUAAUUAAAAUCUGUAACACAACCAGAAUCGUGAAUCCACUCGCAAUUCUCUCCCCAAAAAGCGCAAAAUGAAUGGCAUACAUAACAUAACAGCACAAUUAAUUUCAAAAUAAAAACUACAAAACUAAAUA